rnacentral:rRNA from 1 species
AGUGAACGCUGGCGGUAGACCUAACACAUGCAAGUCGAACGGCAGCACAGUAAGAGCUUGCUCUUACGGGUGGCGAGUGGCGGACGGGUGAGGAAUACAUCGGAAUCUACUUUUUCGUGGGGGAUAACGUAGGGAAACUUACGCUAAUACCGCAUACGACCUACGGGUGAAAGCAGGGGAUCUUCGGACCUUGCGCGAUUGAAUGAGCCGAUGUCGGAUUAGCUAGUUGGCGGGGUAAAGGCCCACCAAGGCGACGAUCCGUAGCUGGUCUGAGAGGAUGAUCAGCCACACUGGAACAGAGACACGGUCCAGACUCCUACGGGAGGCAGCAGUGGGGAAUAUUAGACAAUGGACGCAAGCCUGAUCCAGCCAUACCGCGUGAGUGAAGAAGGCCUUCGGGUUGUAAAGCCCUUUUGUUGGGAAAGAAAAGCAGCAGGUUAAUACCCCGCUGUUCUGACGGUACCCAAAGAAUAAGCACCGGCUAACUUCGUG